CUUUCGUAUAUAUUAUUUUUAAUAAUUUUAUAAAUAUUUAUUUUUGCAGAGCAUUUAGAGAAGCAAAGGAUGUAUAACCAUCUGUUGCCCUUUUUUCUAUCAGUAGUAUAAUUUCACCUCUGUUUAGGAAAAAAUAUGAGCUAGUUAGCAUAUAUUAUAUAAAAUAUAUGCUGCAGUGUACUGCAUUGUACGGCACUGAAUUUAUUUAAAAGCCAUGUCUUUCUCUUUAUGGCUGUAUGUAAUAAUGUUGUUCAUAAUUUAGAAUAUAAAACGACGACUUCUCAGUUCCUUGGAAUGUUUACAUGUCUCUAUCUCCGCAACCUUGGCUGGAAAUUCCAGUCUCCAAAAAUAGUUAUGCUGUUAUAAUUCCUGAUUUUCAAUCAACAGCUAGCCUAACUGACAAUAUGGAAAAUAUCACUGUUUUCUAAAACCUUUCUUAUAUAGUGGACAUUAGAAUCCAGAAUGCAGUAAUGCAAUAAUUAAAAAUCCUGUCUGUCUGUUGCAUGAAUGUUUUCAUUAAGCCAUAAUGCAAUUUUCUUUGCAUUCUUGGAAUUAGACUUCAAAUGUCAUUGCUCUGUCUUAUCACUUUUCUUUUGACAACAUUUUGCAUUAAUCUUUUUCCUGCGCAUGCAUACUAAGCAGCUACAAAGAGAACAUAUCCCCCUGUCUGCAAUCCACUGUCCUGGAACUAACGGGCCAUGCUGUGCUGGUGUAUUAGGCAUAUCAGGGAGUUUACCAAAUAUGUAUAUUUGUUCUAUUAUGAUAUUAGUUAAGAUCCACAAUUUCAGCAUUAUAUGCUAAUUACGUUGUACCUGGCACCUGAACUCACAGUGCCUUGUUCACAUUAAAAUCAUCUCUAAUGAUCUCUCUCUGAGUCUGGGCUACAAAUAGCUCAAUAGAUUCUUGAUAUUUCAAGACUUAUGCCAUGACAAAGUAUUGUGUCUUCUCUUACGUAUAAGAGGUUACCUAGGUAUUUAUUUUAUAUUUAAAGCUUCCAAGUACAAAGUCCCUUCGUGGUCGCCAAUUGUAACCGUGUGUGGUUCCCUUAUUUACCACUAUAAUGUCUUAAAGCAUAGAACUUAGUAGGGC